rnacentral:rRNA from 1 species
UACAGAGGUCUCAAGCGUUUGUUCGGAUUCAUUGGGCGUAAAGGGCGCGUAGGCGGCGGGGUAAGUCGGGUGUGAAAUCUCAGGGCUCAACCCUGAAACUGCACUCGAUACUGCUCUGCUUGAGGACUGGAGAGGAGACUGGAAUUCACGGUGUAGCAGUGAAAUGCGUAGAUAUCGUGAGGAAGACCAGUGGCGAAGGCGGGUCUCUGGACAGUUCCUGACGCUGAGGCGCGAAGGCCAGGGGAGCAAACGGG